AGUGGCGGACGGGUGAGUAACGCGUGAGAAUCUGGCUUCAGGUCCGGGACAACCACUGGAAACGGUGGCUAAUACCGGAUAUGCCUUUAGAGGUGAAAGAUUAAUUGCCUGAAGAUGAGCUCGCGUCUGAUUAGCUAGUUGGUGGGGUAAGAGCCUACCAAGGCGACGAUCAGUAACUGGUCUGAGAGGAUGACCAGUCACACUGGGACUGAGACACGGCCCAGACUCCUACGGGAGGCAGCAGUGGGGAAUAUUGGACAAUGGGCGAAAGCCUGAUCCAGCAAUGCCGCGUGAGUGAUGAAGGCCUUAGGGUUGUAAAGCUCUUUUACCCGGGAUGAUAAUGACAGUACCGGGAGAAUAAGCCCCGGCUAACUCCGUGCCAGCAGCCGCGGUAAUACGGAGGGGGCUAGCGUUGUUCGGAAUUACUGGGCGUAAAGCGCACGUAGGCGGCUUUGUAAGUCAGAGGUGAAAUCCCGGGGCUCAACCCCGGAACUGCCUUUGAGACUGCAUCGCUCGAAUCCAGGAGAGGUGAGUGGAAUUCCGAGUGUAGAGGUGAAAUUCGUAGAUAUUCGGAAGAACACCAGUGGCGAAGGCGGCUCACUGGACUGGUAUUGACGCUGAGGUGCGAAAGCGUGGGGAGCAAAC
rnacentral:rRNA from 1 species